rnacentral:rRNA from 1 species
UACGGAGGAUCCAAGCGUUAUCCGGAAUCAUUGGGUUUAAAGGGUCCGUAGGCGGUUUGGUAAGUCAGUGGUGAAAGCCCAUCGCUUAACGAUGGAACGGCCAUUGAUACUGCCAGACUUGAAUUACUGGGAAGUAACUAGAAUAUGUAGUGUAGCGGUGAAAUGCUUAGAUAUUACAUGGAAUACCAAUUGCGAAGGCAGGUUACUACCAGUGGAUUGACGCUG